rnacentral:rRNA from 1 species
CUACGUGCCAGCAGCCGCGGUAAUACGUAGGGCGCGAGCGUUGUCCGGAAUUAUUGGGCGUAAAGAGCUUGUAGGCGGUUUGUCGCGUCUGCUGUGAAAGGCCGGGGCUUAACCCCGUGUAUUGCAGUGGGUACGGGCAGACUAGAGUGCAGUAGGGGAGACUGGAACUCCUGGUGUAGCGGUGGAAUGCGCAGAUAUCAGGAAGAACACCGAUGGCGAAGGCAGGUCUCUGGGCUGUAACUGACGCUGAGAAGCGAAAGCAUGGGGAGCGAACAGGAUCAGAUACCCUGGUAGUCCAUGCCGUAAACGUUGGGCACUAGGUGUGGGGGGCAUUCCACGUUUUCCGCGCCGUAGCUAACGCAUUAAGUGCCCCGCCUGGGGAGUACGGCCGCAAGGCUAAAACUCAAAGAAAUUGACGGGGGCCCGCACAAGCGGCGGAGCAUGCGGAUUAAUUCGAUGCAACGCGAAGAACCUUACCAAGGCUUGACAU